rnacentral:rRNA from 1 species
AUUGAACGCUGGCGGCAGGCUUAACACAUGCAAGUCGAGCGAGUGGCGGACGGGUGAGUAAUGUCUGGGAACCUGCCCGAUGGAGGGGGAUAACUACUGGAAACGGUAGCUAAUACCGCAUACCAUCAGAUGUGCCCAGAUGGGAUUAGCUAGUAGGGGGGGUAAGGGCUCACCAAGGCGACGAUCCCUAGCUGGUUUGAGAGGAUGACCAGCCACACUGGAACUGAGACACGGUCCAGACUCCGACGGGAGGCAGCAGUGGGGAAUAUUGCACAAUGGGCGCAAGCCUGAUGCAGCCAUGCCGCGUGUGUGAAGAAGGCCUUCGGGUUGUAAAGUACUUUCAGCGAGGAGGCGUUACUCGCAGAAGAAGCACCGGCUAACUCCGUGCCAGCAGCCGCGGUAAUUC